UCAGUUUUUUGGGAUUUCCCGCCAAACGAUACUUAUUAUGGGAAAAAUUUUUUUUUCAAAAAAUAACUUUAUCCUUUACCUUUCAUAUGCCAUAUAACCGAAAUUUUUGGGAACCAUACAGGGCGAGCAAUAAUGAACUUUACCCAUGAAGGUCCGACCCGAAAAUCACAUUUUAUUUAAUAACUUUUUCGUAGUAGCAUCUGGACCAUUUAUAUUCUCAGGCAUUAAAUACUUUAAUAACCCCAAUAUUUAUGUAAAAUUACAAUCUUCCAACAUUAAUAGGUUCUGAGCAAUUCGAAUUUUCGCGUUUAAUUCAUUUGCCACGUCCCUGUACAUGGUGAAAAGAUCAGACAUCAUCUAAAAGAUCCGAAAUUUUGUUUUACAACACAUACUAAAAUUUCAGGGUUCCAGCGAUAGUACAAGUACCCGAAAAAUGCGAUUUUAUGAAAAAAGUCCAUUUUUUUGCGUUUUUGCAGGUAAUUGGAGGUGUCAACCUAAACUCUGAUGAAAUGGCUGGUGGGAACAAUACUUUGACGCAUGGUGGAUACAAAUUUUUUGCUCGUGACAGGUGGCCGGGACUUGGUUUGGUUUUUUGUAAAAUUAUGAAUGAAAAUGAACCGGAAACGAUCAGGGAAAGGAAGCACCGAAUCAGAAAAUGAAUGGGCUUUCCGAAUCUGUGCAUAUCAAUUGGGGAAAUUGUGUAUUGCGGCCAGG